rnacentral:misc_RNA from 1 species
GAUGAAGAACGUAGCGAAAUGCGAUACGUAAUGUGAAUUGCAGAAUUCAGUGAAUCAUCGAAUCUUUGAACGCAUAUUGCGCUCUCUGGUAUUCCGGAGAGCAUGCUUGUUUGAGUAUCAGUAAACACCUCAACUCUCAUGGCUUGCCAUGAUGAGCUUGGACUUUUGGGGGUCUUGCUGGCCUGUGGUCAGCUCCUCUCAAAUGAAUUAGCCUGCCAGUGUUUGGUGGCAUCACAGGUGUGAUAACUAUCUACGCUUGUGGUUUUCCACCAGGUAACCUUCAGUGAUGAAGGUUCGCUGGGGCUCAUAAACGUCUCUCCUCAGUGAGGACAGCUCUUUGAACGUUUGAUCUCAAAUCAGGUAGGACUACCCGCUGAACUUAAGCAUAUCAAUAAGCGGAGGA